GCUGUGAUGGCCGAGUGGUUAAGGCGUUGGACUCGAAAUCCAAUGGGAUCUUCCCACGCAGGUUCGAACGCUCGCAGCA
rnacentral:tRNA from 1 species